AUAUCAAUAAGCGGAGGAAAAGAAACUAACAAGGAUUCCCCUAGUAACUGCGAGUGAAGCGGGAAGAGCUCAAAUUUAAAAUCUGGCAGUUUUGCUGUCCGAGUUGUAAUCUAGAGAAGCGUUUUCCGUGCUGGACCGUGUACAAGUCUCUUGGAAUGGAGCGUCGUAGAGGGUGACAAUCCCGUCUUUGACACGGACUGCCGGUGCUUUUGUGAUGCGCUCUCAAAGAGUCGAGUUGUUUGGGAAUGCAGCUCAAAAUGGGUGGUAAACUCCAUCUAAAGCUAAAUACAGGCGAGAGACCGAUAGCGAACAAGUACCGUGAGGGAAAGAUGAAAAGAACUUUGAAAAGAGAGUUAAACAGUAC
rnacentral:rRNA from 1 species